GCCACUAUCAUUUCAGUUGUGGAUUUGUCCCAUGGACUUUUGUUAUGUGGGCAAUUCUCAGCAUCACCCUCUGCUGAUUUUCCCAGAUAUGUAAGAGUGACUGACAAAGCAGCCUGAUCCAGUCUCCUUUUACAAGUUUAGCAUAUUUACCAAGCUGUUUGAGAAGCUGAGCUAUUUUCAGCAAGGAUAAUGGAUGCUGCUAUGCUGUGCAGAGUUUUAAUGACUUUCCUGCACAUUAAAAUAAUCUGUCAUUUCAAUUAAAGCUCUGUCAGCUGCGUGAUGUCUCCCCGCACCUCCCAUACAGUGUCAGCACACUCCUUUUCUCCUCCGGUGGGAGUUCACUCAAAGCCCUCCCAAAAAACAAAGCGGAGUUUCAAGGGAAAUUGUUUGACAGCAGCUUAAGAGCGAGUCAGGAAUAACUUAUAAGGUCUAAUUAUACAAGUAUAUGUCAGGCAGCUGAUGAGUGUGUGUCAUUGCUGGCAGUGGAGCGGAUUUCCAUACAGCCUGUCAGAGUUAAAAAGAGAGCUGACAGCAGCACAUGACGGCGGCCUCUUCCUCGAUCCUGACCUUUCGAAGACCUCCCAUCAUGUUCAAACUCCCCACAGUCACCCGCUGCAGCCGAUCCCUGCGAUACACGCCAGCCCCAUGCGUUAGGCCAGCUGUGUUCCGCGCUCCACCUAAAUAUACAGAGUCAGCAGCCGCAUUCAUGGCUCAGUAUAAGCUAGUGGGCUGAGGCAUUUGUGUGCUUUCGCUGGCUCAGCCAUAACAUGUGGUUAACAA
ensembl:lncRNA